AUUCUGUAGAAUAACGCAGCAACAUGGAAAAAACAAUUCCUAUAUUAAAAGUAUAUUUUGGCCUUUAUUCUCAGUCCCUUUUAAAACUUUUAAAAAGCAUUUUUGCUUGAAUGGCUCUUUUGUAAUUGUCCAUUACCUAAAGAGUCAAAAAAAGAAAGAUUGCAGUCUUGGGAAUAUAUAAAGAAGGAAUUAAAUUUGUAUAAUUAGAAAGCAUAUUGUAGCUUUCCCAUCAGAAUAGAUCAAAACUCUCAUUUUCCUGUCAUUUUUGCCAAGCCAGCACACAGUUACUAUGCCUACCUAUUGUCACCAGACUAAAGCUUGUGCUAUUAUCUACAUCAUCAAGGAGAAGUCAAGUGCUGUUGUUGAUGAAGCAUGCCAUUCCUCGCCCUUUUAUGCUUUAUGCUCACAGUGACAUAUUUAACUCAGAUACCACAGGUAUGUUUGCCAAGAAGCCCUCUAGCAACGAUAAUGUUAGGUUAAGGUAAUUGAAUAGAAAGACUAGGAGCAGUCAGUCAUUUAGCAAACUCUUAGGUACAUUUACCUAAAAGAAUAGUCAAUCCAAAAGGUAGAUGCAACAAAUAUAGCACAUUCACAUAUAUGCUAGGACAAAUAAUAAAUAGGAAUGCUUGGUGACAACAUAUGGAUCACUAUUAUGAUACUUUAGAGUUCUAUAAAAGUUGUUGGUAUGUUACAGUUAAAGUCCACAUUGCGCUAUUUCUCCAGUGAAGAAAUUAUAAAUGCCAGGUAUGAUAAAACACUGCAUUAAGCAAUAAAGGGCAGCUCAAAAUGUUCAAACUUGAAAAUAAACCCUGCAAAGAAAGGUGAGCUAUCAAGUAGUCUUCAUUUUCCUGAAGAUUUUGUAUAACACAAGUAUUUCAAGAAAACCAACCCACGAAAUAAGUAAAAACUCUACCAGUGGAAAACGAGAGGUAGAGAAGAGGCUUAGUUGAGAAAAGCAACUGAGAUUGGUUGAAAAAGAUAUGACAGAGUAAUAGAAUGCAUAAAGCCUCCUCAUUUGCCUUGUGCCCCCAUAAACAUAGUCAUUUCCAAAACACCUCGUCGGCAUUCCAUCCAACAUUGACACCUCUGAUCGACAUGCCUUUCUGGUUUACGGAUGCUUUGUUGUCUACUUUUUCUCCUUGAGAUCCAACCUUGGAGUAUCCAACCUUAAGAGCAGGUACUGAGCCUAAUUUUCUUUCAGACAACAAAACCUGACUAAAUUAUUAAACUUUUCUGGGCCCACAUCAAAAUAUCUCUGAGCUAGAUGAGUCCCUCAUCUCUAUAGAUUCUGAUAUGAAUGCAUGUUUGAGCUUUGGUCUAAACUGCUAAUGAGAGGGAAAGCACUACUGAAAACAAGGCAAUGCUUUUUAAAACCUUCUAUUUCCUGUAGUUCAAGCCAUAUGUCCUUCCAAUUAAUGGACUUAAGAAAAUAAAUUCUUUCCCUUGAUAUCUAAUUCACAGGAAAGCCACUUGAACCUCUAUAUGUAUUGUGUACAUGAGACGUUUUCUCUAGAAUUUAUCAGUGCAGAACCAGCUCGCUGUGACUAGCUCAUUCUUCUCUAUAUAUAUAAAGAAGUGUUCAGGAAUAAUAAUAGGAAUCAUUACAGUUAUGAUGACCAAACACCUCCGUGUUCCAGGUAUUGUACUCUGUAAUCGUUUUUACCUCAAUGGGAUUUUCUUAUUUUUUCCAUGUAAGUCAGUUAGUGAUUAUACACAAUUUCCACUAAUCCAUCCCUCACAGGUUUUGGCUUCUGAUCCUCACACAAUUGGAUUUCUUUCUCUUCCUAUGUAUUAUUAUUCUCCCUUAUGAAUGAAUGACAAAGGUAGUCUAUUGCAGGGAAGAUUUUGCUGAUGCCUGGUGGUUCCUUUUUUCACUACAUACUCUCACAUCUCUUCUCUUUAAUUUUCUAGUGAGUGUCUUCUGAUUAAGUUAUUGUUUGUAAUGACUCAGCUAGUGCCACAGAGGUGAGCUUUCAUCUUUAUUUGGGAAGAAACAGGAGGGAGGCAAUGUGUUUUGCUACAUCAGUUUGUGGUACUGUGCUUCCAAUUCCAGACAGAAAACCAACUGGCCUCAGAGGGUAAGCAGACCAAUUCCUCUAAACUUCUUCUGGGAAAAAAUAGAAACUUUAGGAGUACACACUGCCUUUUCUUGUUUCCUACAUUUUUUCACUGCUCCCAGCUGUCCCUAGAAACAUUUCUUGGGGUUUGUAAAUUAGAAACUCAUUUUUCCUUUCCUGUGUAGAGAAAAAAAAAAA
rnacentral:lncRNA from 1 species